UACGUAGGGAGCAAGCGUUGUCCGGAAUCAUUGGGCGUAAAGCGCGCGUAGGUGGCUUCGUAAGUCCGUUGUGAAAGUCGGGGGCUCAACCCUCGAAUGCCGGUGGAUACUGUCGGGCUAGAGUACGAAAGAGGGUCGCGGAAUUCCCGGUGUAGAGGUGAAAUUCGUAGAUAUCGGGAGGAACACCGGUGGCGAAGGCGGAUCUCGUGGGCCGUAACUGACGCUGAGGAGCGAAAGCAUGGGGAGCGAACAGG
rnacentral:rRNA from 1 species